rfam:Salmo salar isolate Sally breed double haploid chromosome ssa01, whole genome shotgun sequence.
UGGCUCAGUUGGUAGAGCAUGGUGUUUGCAAUGCUGGGGUUGUGGGUUUGAUUCCCAU